AGGAGUGGGACCGAUAAGAACAAUUGAAAUCUCAAGGAGCAGGUGGUCAUGGUUGCUUGAUGCAGGCCAUGAAAUGAAUGAAUGCUGGAUUUUGGAUUGGACUUUGUUUUCUAUCUAUUCUUUUGAAAUUUGAACUUGAUUUGUGUUGUUGUAGUCGAUUAGACUUAGAUUUAAUUUGUGUUGUAAUGGACUAUGGACUUUGGACUUUAAGUUUAAACUUUAAUCAUGUGUUGAGAUUUGUGGUUGUAGUC